CCUACGGGAGGCAGCAGUCGAGAAUCAUUCACAAUGGGGGAAACCCUGAUGGUGCGACGCCGCGUGGGGGAAUGAAGGUCUUCGGAUUGUAAACUCCUGUCAUGUGGGAGCAAAUUAAAAAGAUAGUACCACAAGAGGAAGAGACGGCUAACUCUGUGCCAGCAGCCGCGGUAAUACAGAGGUCUCAAGCGUUGUUCGGAAUCACUGGGCGUAAGGCGUGCGUAGGCUGUUUCGUAAGUCGUGUGUGAAAGGCGCGGGCUCAACCCGCGGACGGCACAUGAUACUGCGAGACUAGAGUAAUGGAGGGGGAACCGGAAUUCUCGGUGUAGCAGUGAAAUGCGUAGAUAUCGGGAGGAACACUCGUGGCGAAGGCGGGUUCCUGGACAUUAACUGACGCUGAGGCACGAAGGCCAGGGGAGCGAAAGGGAUUAGAUACCCGAGUAGUC
rnacentral:rRNA from 1 species